rnacentral:rRNA from 1 species
UACGAAGGGGGCUAGCGUUAUUCGGAAUCACUGGGCUUAAAGGGCGCGUAGGCGGGCCACAAAGUCCGGGGUGAAAGCCCCCAGCUUAACUGGGGAAGUGCCUUGGAUACUGGAUGGCUUGAGAUUGGGAGAGGGAUGCGGAAUUCCCGGUGUAGCGGUGAAAUGCGCAGAUAUCGGGAGGAACACCGGUGGCGAAGGCGGUUCCCUGGGCCUGACCUGACGCUGAGGAGCGAAAGCGUGGGGAGCGAACAGG